CCUACGGGAGGCAGCAGUGAGGAAUAUUGGUCAAUGGACGAGAGUCUGAACCAGCCAAGUAGCGUGAAGGAUGACUGCCCUAUGGGUUGUAAACUUCUUUUAUAAAGGAAUAAAACGAGGCACGUGUGCCUUUUUGCAUGUACUUUAUGAAUAAGGAUCGGCUAAUUCCGUGCAAGCAGCGGCGGUAAUACGGAGGAUCCGAGCGUUAUCCGGAUUUAUGGGGUUUAAAGGGAGCGUAGAUGGGUUGUUAAGUCAGUUGUGAAAGUUUGCGGCUCAACCGUAAAAUUGCAAUUGAUACUGGCAGUCUUGAGUACAGUUGAGGUAAGCGGAAUUCGUGGUGUAGCGGUGAAAUGCUUAGAUAUCACGAAGAACCCCGAUUGCGAAGGCAGCUUACUAAACUGUGACUGACAUUGAUGCUCGAAAGUGUGGGUAUCAAACAGGAUUAGAUACCCUGGUAGUC
rnacentral:rRNA from 1 species